rnacentral:lncRNA from 1 species
AAAAGAGAUAAGUUUGGUAACCUUGGAAAACCCGAUCUCUUUUUUUCCCAGCCUCCUGAGAAGCAAGGCCCAGAGGAACAAACACUGUGCGUGGGAAACCAGAGAGGGGCUCUGGAGGAGGGGACGGAAGAGGCCAGAGACAGGGUGGCUUUUCUGAAGAAUGGAAGGAGAUGAUCCAGAUGUGAGAAUCAGCACCUGCACGUGAUGAUUGCUUCUUACUCUGGCCAGAAAGGACAUGUGGGUUACAAGGCUGGACUAGACCCUGUUAACACAGCUGUCUCCAACACCAAGUUCCUAAGGCCAAGACAUAACCACUUGGCAGUAAAUAGGACUUGAAAGCAAAGAAUCAGACCCUCAAUGGAAAGGAAGCUCCUGGGAGAGUCUGCUUCCCUCUGGAGAUUGCUCCUUCUCUCUCUCUCUGGCUGGCCAACUCCUGGUGAUCUCCUGGGACUCAAGACACCUGACCUUCUCAAGAAGGUUUUUCUGACUUUCCCUGCUCCUCUCCUAAGGCUUGAUUUCAUAACACCUUGUACUGUAUAGCAGUGAUUAUGGUUGUGAUUUAACCUGAAGGCAAGGACUGUGCCCACUGCCGUUGCUCACCCCCACAUCCCCAGUGCCUAGACCAGCACUUGGCAAAAGGCAUAAAUAAAUUUAUAUUGAAUGAUUUAGAUGAAUGAUUA